UUACGGCCAUAUCACAUUGGAACACCAAGUUCCCAUACAAUCAUCGAAGUUAAGCAACAUUGAGCCUGGUCAGUAGCUAGAUGGGUAACUGCUUGGGAAUAUCGGGUAAUG